rnacentral:sRNA from 1 species
AUUUUAUUGUAGGCUGAGUGUGGACUUCAAACAGCUAUUUUUGGUUUGAAACAAGAUUUAAAAAGUCUUUUUAAUAUUCCAGCAGAGAGACAAGUGUGGACAUUAAGGAAUCGUGUUUUAGACGACACUAAAUGUUUGGAAAAUUAUGGCAUUACCGGCAUUGAAAAUGAAUCAACUCGAGGUGACGGAAUUCAAAUUGUCGUUAAGUCUACUAUAUAAUAUCUUGAAAGAUAUAAGUCUACCCUGUUUUGUUGAUAUGUAAAUAUUAUGUAUGCUAAUUUUGUAUUGAUAUUUUAGAUGUAGAAACAUUAAGGAGUUAAAAUGUUUAUGGCCGCUGGGAAGUAUACUCCGAAACAAAAGUAGGCCUAAACAAUUACAUUGAAUAGCAGUCUGUUGCUAUAAGGUGGAAUUAGUGAGUUAUGUAAUGUUAAUCACAUUUGAAUCAAUGUUGAUAGCUCAUUAAAGGACGGAUAGAAAAUACAUUUUGUUUUCAUUUCAUAUAUGUUAGAUAGCCAUUACUACUUUUGAUAUUUACAAUAAAUAUUGAAACAACACUCAAACUACUUACACAUUUAAUUUGUAACGAAGUAUUGUCUUUGUGUAUCUGUGGUGCUUAUAAAAUUACAUAUUACUAUGCAUGACAUUAAAAUGUAUAUUGUCU